AUCCACCCGCCUUGGUCUUCCAAAGUGCUGGAAUAACAGAUGCCAUUCGGUGAGGGAGCUCAAGCUGGAUGCAUGGGGUGACCACAGGGAGAGCAUCUGACAGCCCAGCUGGGUGCCUGGCUGAUAGCCCACACCAAGUACCAGGCAGGUAAGUGAGACCACUGGGCACCAUCCAGCCCGCCUGGCCGCCUUCCGACUGUAGCUGCACGAGUGAGCCAGCUGCUGGCUCAUCCAGUGGACAGGUCAUCUGAGUCCUGAUCCACAGAAGCCUGAACAAUACACCUUAUGGUAAGCUUUAAGGUGGGGUGGUUUGUAGCACAGAAAUGGAUCUUUGAAGCAGGUGUGAUUCUCCAUGCAAGGCUCUGGCAAUUGCCCCAACCUUUAUGCAGUCUCCAGUGACGAAUUUCUUUACCCAUUUAUUUUGAAACGUGUAUUUUGGCCGCAGCACCCAGAAUCUGACUCCUCCACCUUGGUCGUCAUGGAAAGCUCAUCUCUGGUGGCAGUGUUAUCAUUCUGUCAAUUACUCAAGAGCCCAAUACAAACAGGGGGCAAGGCUGGCUGCCAGCACUGCCGUCGAGGCAUGGGCAGGAAGCAGUGGACUCUGACCUCAGUGCGUUUAUGGGAAGUGGAGGCAGAUGGUCAAGAAAUGAGAAUCUACACACAGGGAAGAUAAAUCUGGUUUGUAACAAGGGCGGUGCAGGAAAUAGACAUGGAGAUGGGGCAGAAGGGAACUGUGUGGGCAGCUCGCUUUAAGAGGCCAGGGGAGGUGACUUGGGAACUGAAUCCUGAGGGAGAGAAGGGAUAGCAGUGGGAAGAGCCGAGGGAAGCUUUGUCCAGAGAGAGGGAAUGGCAGGUGCCGUGGUCUGAGGCGAGAGAGGGCUGGGUGACCUGGACUAGAACAGACACCAGCCAGACAGCAUAGAAAACAAGUAGAGGAGCUGGGCGCGGUGGCUCACACCUGUAAUCCCAGCACUUUGGGAGGC
rnacentral:lncRNA from 1 species